GGCAAGGUGGUCGAGUGGUUAAGACGUAAGACUGUAUGUUGAUCCCACCUUUCAUCCAACUACAAAAACACAUCAUAUUAAUUAUCUCUCAGUGAAUUCCUUCUUGGAAGUUAUCUUAUCCCCUAGGGGUCGCGCGUUCAAAUCGCGUCCUUGUCG